UACGAAGGGGGCUAGCGUUGCUCGGAAUCACUGGGCGUAAAGGGUGCGUAGGCGGGUUUUUAAGUCCGGGGUGAAAUCCUGGAGCUCAACUCCAGAACUGCCUUUGAUACUGAAGAUCUCGAGUCCGGGAGAGGUGAGUGGAACUGCGAGUGUAGAGGUGAAAUUCGUAGAUAUUCGCAAGAACACCAGUGGCGAAGGCGGCGCACUGGCCCGGUACUGACGCUGAGGCACGAAAGCGUGGGGAGCAAACAGG
rnacentral:rRNA from 1 species